rnacentral:lncRNA from 1 species
CCUAGUGUUCAGAUACCUGGGGAAAUGGCUCUGGUUCCUUUGGAGAAAAAUUGAGAGAAUCAUGACUCUGCAGAUCAUCUUUCCCAUGCCUUGGUCACCUCUCCAGUCAGUGGAGUCUCUGUUCAAACACUGGCAGAGGGUUUCUUUUUCCACUUUCACAUCUACAGCAUGUACUUUGGAAGCAGGCUCCUGCCAAGCCCAGGUUAAACAGUCGGCUCUCUAUUUUCGCUGUGGGCGAUGUUCACGCCUCUUCUAAGAGGCUGGCAGGGUGAUAAGCGCUCUCCCUCUCUUGGUGCCACACAGACCCUGAAGUGGUUUCUGGCUUCAUUUCUCAGACAAAUGUAGCUACGUCUGCAGAGCAUAAAUCUGUAAAAACACAAAAUUAAUACAUCAUAUCCAUCUUCAAAGGAUCCACACUUGGGAAUUGGGAAACUACAGUGAAUAUUUUUCCGGCAACAAAUCAGAGACUGAGGCAGUCACCGAAGCCCCAGCACGCACCUGUGUGCGGCGGCUGUAUCUGGGGAGUAACCCCGCGUGAUCUACAGCGCUGGUGCUCUCAAAGAGGAGCCUCAGAAGGGAGGAGAAGAAUGUCUGAGGGUUUGUCUAGGGAAAAAUAAAAGAAAUAAUUGUUCUAAAAAAAGGAGAGAUCGGUAUUUCACUGGCAGCCCAAGUUGCACAGGAACACUUUAAACUUCUGGGGCUGGAAUCCUUCAUCUGAAAAUCAC